rnacentral:rRNA from 1 species
AUGAGGUGUGGAUAGCGGAGAAAUUCCAAUCGAACCCGGAGAUAGCUGGUUCUCCCCGAAAUAGCUUUAGGGCUAGCGUCGUGAAGAACCUGAUCGGAGGUAGAGCACUGAAUGAGUGAUGGCCCCAUCCCGGGGUACUGAACUCAAUCAAACUCCGAAUGCCGAACAGGAUGCACGGCAGUCAGACCGUGAGUGAUAAAGUCCAUGGUCAAGAGGGAAACAGCCCAGAUCGCCAGUUAAGGUCCCAAAAUUCCGGCCAAGUGGAAAAGGAAGUGGGGAUGCACAGACAACUAGGAGGUUGGCUCAGAAGCAGCCAUCCUUGAAAGAGUGCGUAACAGCUCACUAGUCGAGUGACCCUGCGCCGAAAAUGUACCGGGGCUAAGCCGGAUACCGAAACUGCGGAUAUCUAAGGAUGUGGUAGGGGAGCGUUGCAUGCAGGAAGAAGCCGUACCGAGAGGAGCGGUGGACCGCAUGGAAGCGAGAAUGCCGGUGUGAGUAGCGAGAUGAAGGUGAGAAUCCUUCACACCGAAAGCCCAAGGAUUCCAGGGGAAGGUUCGUCCGCCCUGGGUAAGUCGGGACCUAACGCGAGGCCGAAAGGCGUAGUGGAUGGAAAGCAGGCAGAUAUUCCUGCACCCGGAUGUAGAGCGAAGGAGUGACGGAGACGGGAAGCAUGACCCUCUUAACGGAUUGAGGGCGAAGCGAGGUAGCGGAUGACCAGGCAAAUCCGGUCAUCGGAACGUGAAGACGUGACAGGGAAGCGAAAGAGCGAUCGAGUAGCGAAGACAUGCGGACCGGCUUCCAGGAAAAGCUUCUAGCAAUGUAUGUCCGGCCCGUACCAAAACCGACACAGGUGGGCAGGGAGAGUAUCCCGAGGUGAGCGAGAGAACUGUUGCCAAGGAACUCGGCAAAAUGACUCCGUAAGUUAGCGAGAAGGAGUGCUCGAAAGAGCCGCAGUGAAGAGGCCCAAGCGACUGUUUAACUAAAACACAGCUCUCUGCGAAGCCGCAAGGCGAAGUAUAGAGGGUGACACCUGCCCGGUGCUGGAAGGUUAAGAGGAUCUGUGAAUCGAAAGAGGAAGCAGUGAGUUGAAGCCCCAGUGAACGGCGGCCGUAACUAUAACGGUCCUAAGGUAGCGAAAUUCCUUGUCAGGUAAGUUCUGACCCGCACGAAAGGUGUAACGAUUUGGGCGCUGUCUCGGCAGCAGACUCGGUGAAAUCUUAGUACCUGUGAAAAUGCAGGUUACCCGCAACUAGACGGAAAGACCCCAUGGAGCUUUACUGCAGCUUGAUAUUGAACUUUGGUCGUAGACGUACAGGAUAGGUGGGAGACAGAGAGACGUGUUCGCCAGAAUACGAGGAGUCGCCGGUGGGAUACCACUCUUGUGCGAUCGGAGUUCUAACCCAGGUCCCUGAGCGGGACCGGGGACCGUGUCAGGCAGGCAGUUUGACUGGGGCGGUCGCCUCCCAAAGAGUAACGGAGGCGCCCAAAGGUACGCUCAGAUUGGAUGGAAACCAAUCGUCGAGUGCAAAUGCAGAAGCGUGCUUGACUGUGAGACAAACAGGUCGAACAGGGACGAAAGUCGGGAUUAGUGAUCCGGCGGUGCCGAAUGGAAGGGCCGUCGCUCAACGGAUAAAAGCUACCCUGGGGAUAACAGGCUGAUCUCGCCCAAGAGUUCACAUCGACGGCGAGGUUUGGCACCUCGAUGUCGGCUCAUCGCAUCCUGGAGCUGGAUUCGGUUCCAAGGGUUGGGCUGUCCGCCCAUUAAAGCGGUACGCGAGCUGGGUUCAGAACGUCGUGAGACAGUUCGGUCCCUAUCUGUUGUGGGCGUUGGAGAUCUGAGGAGAGCUGUCCUCAGUACGAGAGGACCGGGAUGGACCUGCCGCUGGUGCACCGGUUGUUCCGCCAGGAGCACAGCCGGGUAGCUAAGCAGGGAAAGGAUAAGCGCUGAAAGCAUCUAAGCACGAAGCCUACUCCAAGAUGAGAUCUCCCAAGAAGUAAGACCCCUUAAAGACGAUAAGGUAGAUAGGCCAGGGAUGGAAGUACAGCGAUGUACGGAGUUGACUGGUACUAAUCGGUCGAGGACUUGAUCU